ensembl:lncRNA SLC44A3-AS1 SLC44A3 antisense RNA 1
AGCUGGGGUCCUGCUCUGGUGGGAGGAAGAGGCUCAGACGCUUCCCUGCCCUCUCGCCUCAACCACCUCGAGGCAGCGGCUCCCAGGAUGUGCACUUUGACGACUAAAGCUGAGCCGGCGCCGCCACGACCUUGGGCGGGUGGUCGGCCUCUGCCCUGAGCAGGAAGUAGAAAGUCUCAGCAGACCCUUCCUGAGGGCCGAGCAACAGUGUAGUGGCGUAUUCCACAUAGCAAACAGGGUGAAAAUGGAAAUUCACCUGUGGAACUCACUGGCCAUUGUGGAAGAAACAGGACCCUGGGAGCAUCUGUGUUCUCGUGUUCUUCUUGCCUGUGAGGCCUCUUCUCUCUGAGGACAGAUGGUAGGACAGAGAGAAGACAGCAAAUGGAAAACAAAGGCUGCUAUUUUUUUGUGGGAGAAAAAGUCAUGUGAUGACACACCAAGAAGGUGGCUGUCUGCAAGCCAGGAAGAGAGGCCUUACCAGAAACCAAUCCUGGUGCACCUUAAUCUCAAACUUGAGCCUCCAGGACUGUACGAAAAUAAAUAUUUGUUGUGUAAGCACCCCCAGUGUAUGCUAUUCUGUUAUGGCAGCCCUAGCACACUAAUAUAAAUGCCUACUGCCUGCAAAGUGCUUUGCCUUUGAGGGUUGCAAAAGAGGAUCCCCUCCAGGGAUCCAUGGUCUCAUUGGGAUUUUCCUGUUUGGUCUGUGUCCUGUUCUUGAGUCUCCGCAGGCAGCAUUUCUUCCUGUGACAAUAUGGUGUAAGACAAAAUUGUGGCCUGCCAUGAAGUUGUGAGAGAAAAGCAUCCCUCAUUUCUUCAGGAAAGGCCACUGCCGUUCCCUCCGGCUCCUCUUCUCAGGAGUUUGUGCAUUCAUGAGGUGAAUUCCUUGGAAGAUGAGGGCCAAGUCUUAUUCUUCUCAGUCUCUUCUGCAUCUAGCAGAAGAAUAAUGGUUGCACAGAAAAUCUUGGUUCAGUGGUUGAGUGAAUGAAUGGAUGAACAGGCUCUUGCACACAAAGAAGAGACAUGAUGUAUUUGCAUCCUUCCCUGCUUCAGCCAGGUAAGAUCUACUAGCUCAAACUUAUCACAGCCCUGUUUCUGAGCUGGUCCCACGAAUAGAGUUUUUGUUUUUCACCAGCAAGCAGGCUGUUUCCAAGCUGGGAUGAUAAUUGUUGAUGUGGCACUUUAAACAUCACAAAGAACAACUGAAAAUAUGUUUCUAGGGGUUAAUGACUAAGAAGAAAAUAAUGAAGCUAUGCCUAUUCUGAAAAAUGUCUAAGUGAUGGCAAUGCUGAUUUCUGUGUGGGUGUUCACUUCUCCCUCUCCCCUAUCUCUCUAAAGAGAAUCUUUGAUUACAGAGCCCCUGAUUUCUGUCCUCUUCCAAAGAGAAAAGAUUCCUUAUUGCUGGGAAAGAAGCUAAGUCAAGCUAUCUAAUAAAAUCCUAAGAGAGGAGGAGAAUAGGGCUGGAGGAAAAAGGCAGUCAUGGAAGCAAGGGGUAGAGGAAUUUUCUUCAGGGAUAUGAGAAGUCUCAUUGGAGGAACUAUGAACAGAGAAGAAACUGGGAAUUUAGGCUGG